UUUAAUAGUCGAACAGACUAGCUCACUAAGCUACUACACUAAGCAGCGCCUUUAAUUCAACAUCGAGGUCACAAGAUCUUUUAUCGAUUAGGCCUCUCCAAAAGCAUUGUGCUGUUAUCCCUGAGGUAACUACUCUUUAACUUGCUAAAGAUCUUAGGGGACUAUAGUACUCGGUUUAUAAAUUAGAUGUGUUACUUUACCGCCCCAGUGUGGCACAACAGCAACCAAGACUCAAAUUGUUGGAGUCUAAGUUAAUCUCAUAGCCAGCUCUGCAGGGUCUUAUCUUCCCAUUGGUUGUGCUUGAAGUUUUAAUCAAAGCCUUAAGUUAUUUAUUUACGGGCUUACAAGUCAUCUUUCAUGAACCCCUUCAUUCUAGACCCCAAUUAAGAGCCAAAUUAUUAUGCUACCUUUGCACAGUUAGGG
rnacentral:rRNA from 1 species